UACGGAGGGUGCGAACGUUAAUCGGAAUCACUGGGCGUAAAGCGCGCGUAGGCGGUUUGUUAAGUGGGAUGUGAAAUCCCCGGGCUUAACCUGGGAAUUGCAUUUCAAACUGGCCGACUAGAGUACGGUAGAGGGAGGUAGAAUUUCCUGUGUAGCGGUGAAAUGCGUAGAUAUAGGAAGGAAUACCAGUGGCGAAGGCGGCCUCCUGGAUCGAUACUGACGCUGAGGCGCGAAAGCGUGGGAGCAAACAGG
rnacentral:rRNA from 1 species